AUUGAACGCUGGCGGCAGGCCUAACACAUGCAAGUCGAACGGUAACAGGAAGAGGCUUGCUUCUUUGCUGACGAGUGGCGGACGGGUGAGUAAUGUCUGGGAAACUGCCUGAUGGAGGGGGAUAACUACUGGAAACGGUAGCUAAUACCGCAUAACGUCGCAAGACCAAAGAGGGGGACCUUCGGGCCUCUUGCCAUCGGAUGUGCCCCGAUGGGAUUCGCUAGUAGGUGGGGUAACGGCUCACCUAGGCGACGAGCCCUAGCUGGUCUGAGAGGAUGACCAGCCACACUGGAACUGAGACACGGUCCAGACUCCUACGGGAGGCAGCAGUGGGGAAUAUUGCACAAUGGGCGCAAGCCUGAUGCAGCAAUGCCGCGUGUAUGAAGAAGGCCUUCGGGUUGUAAAGUACUUUCAGCGGGGAGGAAGGGAGUAAAGUUAAUACCUGUGCUCAUUGACGUUACCCGCAGAAGAAGCACCGGCUAACUCCGUG
rnacentral:rRNA from 1 species